rnacentral:rRNA from 1 species
AUGGCGGCUGAAGCACUUUUUGUGGCAAUUGGUUCUUAUGCCUUUGGAGCUUUAUCGGCAGCAGGUGGAUUGCUUUAUGCAAUCAAAGCUUACAAGAAUUAUAGGGCCAUGCGUGAGGAGGUUAAAAUAUGUGCUGCCUGUGGGAAGGAAGUGAAGAUUAUGCUGUCUGAAGAGCAUAUUGAAGAACACAGGUAUGGACUUAUAGUGUACAUAUUUGUGUAA